rnacentral:rRNA from 1 species
GACGAACGCUGGCGGCGUGCUUAACACAUGCAAGUCGAACGGAAAGGCCCUGCUUUUGUGGGGUGCUCGAGUGGCGAACGGGUGAGUAACACGUGAGUAACCUGCCCUUGACUUUGGGAUAACUUCAGGAAACUGGGGCUAAUACCGGAUAGGAGCUCCUGCUGCAUGGUGGGGGUUGGAAAGUUUCGGCGGUUGGGGACGGACUCGCGGCUUAUCAGCUUGUUGGUGGGGUAGUGGCUUACCAAGGCUUUGACGGGUAGCCGGCCUGAGAGGGUGACCGGCCACAUUGGGACUGAGAUACGGCCCAGACUCCUACGGGAGGCAGCAGUGGGGAAUAUUGCACAAUGGGCGGAAGCCUGAUGCAGCAACGCCGCGUGCGGGAUGACGGCCUUCGGGUUGUAAACCGCUUUCGCCUGUGACGAAGCGUGAGUGACGGUAAUGGGUAAAGAAGCACCGGCUAACUACGUGCCAGCAGCCGCGGUGAUACGUAGGGUGCGAGCGUUGUCCGGAUUUAUUGGGCGUAAAGGGCUCGUAGGUGGUUGAUCGCGUCGGAAGUGUAAUCUUGGGGCUUAACCCUGAGCGUGCUUUCGAUACGGGUUGACUUGAGGAAGGUAGGGGAGAAUGGAAUUCCUGGUGGAGCGGUGGAAUGCGCAGAUAUCAGGAGGAACACCAGUGGCGAAGGCGGUUCUCUGGGCCUUUCCUGACGCUGAGGAGCGAAAGCGUGGGGAGCGAACAGGCUUAGAUACCCUGGUAGUCCACGCUGUAAACGGUGGGUACUAGGUGUGGGGUCCAUUCCACGGGUUCCGUGCCGUAGCUAACGCUUUAAGUACCCCGCCUGGGGAGUACGGCCGCAAGGCUAAAACCCAAAGGAAUUGACGGGGCCCCGCACAAGCGGCGGAGCAUGCGGAUUAAUUCGAUGCAACGCGUAGAACCUUACCUGGGUUUGACAUGGAUCGGGAGUGCUCAGAGAUGGGUGUGCCUCUUUUGGGGUCGGUCCACAGGUGGUGCAUGGCUGUCGUCAGCUCGUGUCGUGAGAUGUUGGGUUAAGUCCCGCAACGAGCGCAACCCUUGUUCACUGUUGCCAGCACGUUAUGGUGGGGACUCAGUGGAGACCGCCGGGGUCAACUCGGAGGAAGGUGGGGAUGACGUCAAGUCAUCAUGCCCCUUAUGUCCAGGGCCUCACGCAUGCUACAAUGGCUGGUACAGAGAGUGGCGAGCCUGUGAGGGUGAGCGAAUCUCGGAAAGCCGGUCUCAGUUCGGAUUGGGGUCUGCAACUCGACCUCAUGAAGUCGGAGUCGCUAGUAAUCGCAGAUCAGCAACGCUGCGGUGAAUAAGUUCCCGGGGCU